AGAAAAACAAACAGAUGAACACUGGGAACAGAAAUACUUGUUGAUUUUAUUUGAAAAUGUACAAAGCCAUUAAACUACACAAUUAUACAAGAACAUAAAAAUGAUUGCCCUAAACUUAGUUAACAUUUGUCCAGAGCUUCCUUUGAGUCCUUCGAACCACCUCGGAUCAUUUGUGGUUUCGCCACUUUAAAUUGGAACUGAAGCGGCGGUCUUGCUUGUUUGACAUUGUUGCUACUUUUUACUUGUACAUUGAUUUCUGACUCAAACAGACAUCAAACCAGUCUUAAUAUGUCAGGCGUUAAACCUGACUUUCAGCUGCUGACCCCUAGGCAGGGCGUCCCCUAGCGAAUGAAAAUGAUAUGGAAAAUUAUGAAUCAAAAUUUUAUAUGUGCAAAUUUAACGAGGUUAUUUAUGUGUGUGUAUGUGUGUGUGUGUUUUAAAGUGCAAUUAGAGCUGCUUCAAACUAAAGCACGAAUUGGCUGCAUUAUCUAGUUUCAGUGGUUUAAUGUUAUUUUUUUAUUAAUUUUGAUCUUUUUAUUUCAUUAAACUUUCUAACCACAAAUGAUGGUCUGCAACACAAAUGCAUAUCUCAGUGAAAUGAAAUAAUAAUAAUUUAAAAAAAUCCACAUAAUAAGAGUUCUGCAUGAGUUUUUACUGCUGAGAAACUCUACAGGGAGUUUUAAAUCUGCUGCGUUUUAUCUGACAACUUUCUGCUUUUACAAGCAAGCUUGACUCUGCUUUAAAUUGCAGCAUUUGAAGUCCAACACUCAGUCUAUGUUUGUUGGUUUUAUUGUGCCGCAGCUCCUCUGCUGUAACCGACACCGUCGACCAGGCCCAAGCUCACACCAUUAAAUAUACAAACAAAUAAAUAAGUAAAAGGGCGUUGUCGUAUGCUGCAGUACAUUUGGACUUUGGGUGCCAGAUGAAAUUAUUGGUCAAUUCAGAGUAAAAAAAAAAAAAAGUUAUAUUUUAAAAUGCUUUUUAAUUUUUACUAUUUUACCAUAGAGGAAACUAUGCUUACUUGGUAUUUGGCACCCUGACAGAAGUGAGGUUGUCGUUUCGCGCCAUCGGCCCUUCUGACUAAGCCUGUUACGGUAAAUACUGCGGCCUCUGUAAGUGAACAUGGCUUUUAAGCAUUGAAAGAACAGAAAUGGAUUGCUGAUGUUAGCUUGCAUUGAUAACUGCAGUUAGCCUGGUCACUUAUGGUUCUUUUCCACUACAACCAGAGGCGGCUCAACUCUACAUAGAUUAACUUAGGUUUUUUUCCAUUACAAUGAAGUAAGAGGUCUAGUGCGUGUGGUGGUCAUGCAGUUGGGUGGUCAUGGAGUCUGGAGCGCUAUGUGAUCUGUACAGGACACAGCUAGGGACAUAAAGCCAUGUUGAACAUUCUACUCAGACAGAAUUUUUUUGUCAGAUUAUUGUCACUUUAUUACGAGUUUUUCUGAAUGGCGGCUCGAGUUAUUGUAAGAGAGUUGCUCUUGUGAUGCAACUAGUUAAUCCACCUCUUAGCCAAUCAGUGACCAACAGUCUUCUGAGUAGGGCUGCACAAUUUUAUCAGUUCUAUGAUAUUUAUCAAUAUUUUUUUUUUCCCUCAGAAAGUAUAGAUUUUUCAUCUGCGAGUAUCAAUACAUUAAGUUCUAAUUUGAGUUCUAUGUCAAAUCCACAUCAAUUAAAUGACAGCUAUCACACAUGACAUUUUUACCCAGCUGCACAUGUAUGAAUGAAACAACCAGUUACAAAUUAAAUAAUGAAAUUAAAUUACAUUAUCUAAUAUAAGGGAAUAAGACAAAAAAGGUUCCUUUUCUGCAUAACCAAAUACACAAAGCCACACAAUUACCAUUUAAACAAAGUAAAUGUUUAACAAAAACAUUUAUUACACCAGUAUUACACCAUCAGUUCAAUUAACUCAAUCCAAGUCUAAGGAACAGUCACAAAAUGCCACCAAAAUCACUCUGUCCCUCUAAAAUCUUUCAGAAAAUCUUAAAAAUGUAUCAAAUUGUAUUGUUCGCUGAACAUUGUGAUUUAUAUCUUACUGUGAGCAGAAUAUUACGUAUUGUAUUGUUUAGUGAGAUUACUGUAUCGCUACAACCCCACUUCUGACAUCAUGUUUCAGCCAGACUCACUGCAUGCGAGUGAAGUGGGU